GGCGCGCGCGGGGCCGGUCGGUCCCGGGGCUGCGGGUCCCUGGGCCGGAGCCGGCGCAGUCUGUCAAGCAAGAUCAGGCGCCCGGAAUAAAGCUUGCACCACCAUCACUUUGCUUCUGAUCAAAGACACGGUGUGAUUUUUAUAGCUCGUGUCCUAAAUACGUCCUAGGUCUUUUCAUGAAACCAAGACUCGGGCUGUUGACAGCAGACUGGAACUGCUGGAACCUGGCAGUUUGAUUUGAAAUGGAGAGCAUUACGCAGCUGUUCAAUGACUUGUGUGAAGCACACUUGACAGGUUUGCUAUGGAAAGUCCACUUGGGCAGGCAGAAGAUCAGCAAGAGAAGGGCUAAGCAGAAUCUGAAAAGGGUUGCUUAUAACGCCCUGUUCAUAAACCUUUUUCAAGAUGAGGCUCGUAAGCUGCAAUCAAACAUUUCUGGGCUGCCAGUGAAAAACAAAAUUUUGAUGCUGUCUUUCAACUUGAGAGUUGGUGGCCUGGGUGCCCAAGCAGAUAGACUGGAGAAUCUCGUGGAGGAACUGGAAACAGCUGAAUGCUUACCAUUUACUGAAGUUAAUUCUGUCUUGGAUCUCUUAGUACAACUUGCUGGAACAGGUCCUCCUCAGCUUGUACCACAAAAAAAGGACUAUUUUCUGAACAACAAAUACGUCGGGAGAAACGUCAAGUAUCAGGGUUACGACUACUACGAUGUCAGCGUGUUUGAAGCUGAUAUACAGUCUCUGAUAACAAACGAGGAAUGUCAGUUCAACGACACAAUUCAAAAGACACUUCAGAUCAUGGAGGCUGCUCCUGGCACUGGACUCCCUGCCAUAGGGUUCUCACAGAGCUAUCCUGCUGGGGAGAAGUUUGAGAAGGAAACGCGGGUCUCGCUCUUUGGUGCUCUCGUCCACAGCCGUACAUAUGACAUGGACAUCAAGUUGGAUUUGCCACCAGUGCCUGACAAUGCAGAUUUGUCAGGACUUGCAAUUAAAGUUCCCCAAAGCAUAGACCAGUCAGAAGACGAGGGGUUCCAGUCAGCAUCCAAUCUGACUCCUGAUUCUCAGUCAGAGCCAAGCAUGACUCCAGACAUAGACUUGUGGGAUGCAGUGCUUACCUAUGGACCCAGCAAACGAAGAUGUUGGGAAAGAAUUGGAUACCCACCUGGUAAAAAAGAGGAGCCGUAUCUUACUGAAGCUGGGAGAGAAGCAUUUGACAAAUUUUACAAACUUCGAGAAGGAGAGUUGCAGCUGUUCAGCAGUGCUGUGCUUCAGCUCCCACAGCUUGUGCUGAUGAAAGAACCUGAACUGGUUAAGGAUGUUUUGAAUGUCCUCAUUGGUGUGGUAUCCACUACAUUUUCACUCAAUCAGGCUGCUCAGACGUUUGUGAUAAAGGAGGGGGUGUAUGUAUCUGGGACUUCACCAGAAACAAUGCACAACCUGCUCUCGGAAGUUGCAGAGUAUGGAACCUAUUACACACGACUAAGUCGUUUUUCUCUUCAGCCAGUUCUAGAUUCUUCAUACAGCAAAGGACUUGUGUUUCAGGCAUUCACGAGUGGGCUGAGAAAGUACCUUCAAUAUUACCGAGCCUGUGUUUUGUCAACACCUCCUACUUUAAGUCUUCUAACCAUCAGCUUUCUCUUCAGAAAAUUAGGUCGUCAGUUGAGGUAUUUAGCUGAACUUUGUGGCAUAGGAACAACAGCACUGGGGAUCAGUGGUGGAGCUGGUGCUUCUUUUCCUACGGGUGUUAAAUUGCUUUCAUAUCUGUACAAAGAGGCUCUCAACAACUGUAGCAAUGAGCAUUAUCCUGUUCUUCUGUCUUUGUUGAAGACGAGCUGUGAACCAUACACAAGAUUUAUCUAUGAUUGGGUAUACAGUGGUGUAUUCAGAGAUGUUUAUGGAGAAUUUAUGAUCCAGGUGAAUGAGGAUUAUCUUUGUUUCAGAGAUAAACAUUACUGGACUCAUGGUUAUGUUUUGAUUUCAAAAGAAGUAGAAGAUUGUGUCCCUGUAUUUCUUAAACAUAUUGCUAAUGAUGUAUACAUAUGCGGGAAAACCAUAAACUUGCUGAAACUGUGCUGCCCUAGGCAUUAUAUAUGUUGGUCAGAUAUACCCGUUCCCCGGAUUUCAGUUAUUUUUUCCCUGGAGGAGCUGAAAGAAAUCGAGAGAGAUUGUGCAGUGUAUGUGGGUCGAAUGGAAAGAAUUGCCCGGUACAGUUCCAUAAGCAAGGAGGAAAAGAAUUUACGCAUGGAAAUAGCCAAACAAGAAUUAAUUGUUCAUGCUCGAGAAACUGCUAGCAAAGUACUCAAAGCCAUUAGUGAUCGACAAAUGUCAGAACGAAUGUCUUUGGAUGCAAAGAAACGGGAGCAGUUUCAGAAACUGAAAGAGCAAUUUGCAAAAGACCAAGAGCGUCGCCUUGCAAUAAAGCAAGAGGAGAUUGAUGAUGAUUUCAGCUAUGCCCGAGAGCUCAGAGAGAGAGAAAAAAGACUGAAAGCUUUAGAAGAAGAACUGGAAAAAAAGGCAAGGCAAGAAUUAAUUGACCAUUAUAGCAAACUUUCUGAUGAUGCAGCCCGUAGGGAACAGAGAGCGUUAUGGAAAAUCCAGCGACACAAGUUGGAAACAGCCCGUCUUAAGUUUCUAUUAGAAGAUCAGAAACGCAUCGAGGAAAUGCUUCAAAAACUUCCAGAUGGAAACUACAGAAGAAAAGUAGAUAUUAUUCCUUACAAACAGUGCCAGUUUGCUUUAGAUAAAAAUGCUGUUGUGAAAGAUUCACAUUCACAAAUUUCAUCUCUGAAACCUCUGCAUUCUAAUGAGACAGCUGGCAGAAAAUCAGAGCCUGGCCUGGAAUAUGCUGCUUCCACUGACAAAGCACAGCCCAUGCCAGAGCUGACAGACAGUCAUGCUGAACAGCACUUCCAGCCUAAAGCAGCAGGAUCUGAAAGCCAUCUCCAAAGUUCAGAGCAAGCAUGCAGUCCUUUAGAUAGUGCUGAUUCCUUGCCUGAAUCCAACGUGAAUAUAGAGGAUUUCUUGUCAAAGCCCCAAGAUGAACAGCCUGUUGCCAUUAGUGUACAAGGAUCUUUGCUAGAUGAAGCAUUCCGAAAUAUUAACUCAGAUCUUUCUGAGACUUCUCAAGUAAGUGAAAAUCAGUCUGUCUGGAGAGGAGCACCGGAAGGAGAAGACAAUGCACCAGCGCAUCAGCAAAAUGAGUAUGAUUUUAAUACUGUUCUCAGACCAUCUGCAGCUUGGCAAGGACAUGUUAGACAUGGAGAAAAUAUAUUUGAUGUGGAGUGCAGAAGGCCUCGGUGGAAUACUCACGGACAUGCAUCUGAUGCCAACAUCAGAGUGGGAGAAUAUGUACCUCAUGUGGACACUUCACGGCCACAUUCAAGUCCUUAUGGUCACUCUUCAGACUCCCAUAUAAAAAUCAGCAGCUAUACUUCUGAAGUUGAGUCUAGCCGACCCCGGUGGAAUGUUCAUGGGCAUGUUUCUGAAGCUCAUAUUGAAAUUGGGGAGUAUGCUUCAGAAGUAGAGCCCUCAAGGCCCAGGUGGAACAUUCAUGGGCAUGCUUCAGAAGCCAAUAUUAAGAUUGGAGAGUAUGUGUCAAAUGUAGCUCCUACAAGGCCUCGAUGGAACGUCCAUGGUCAUGCAUCUGAUGCCAAUAUCAAGAUUGGUGAAAAUGUGUCUGAGGUGGUAUCAGCUAGACCUCGUUGGAACAUCCACGGGCAUGCUUCACAGUCACACAUCAAAAUUGGAGAGCUGGUUUCAGAUACGGAGCCUUUGAAAACUCGUUGGAGCCCAUUUGGUCAUGUAUCCCAGUCAAGCAUCCAAAUAGGGGAGUGGGCCCCGUCCACAGAAAAUGAUCCAAUACCUCAUCGUAAAACCAUUUCUGGUCCUUCAUCUGACUCCACAGUUCAAACACUUCUGUACAGUGAAGGAUUAUCUCCUGCUGAAGGGAGCAGAAAGGAACCAAAACCAUCACAAGUUAGGGAAAAGACUUUACCACAGUCAUCUGACAGUGUUGCAGUCUUUUCUGAUGCUAAUAUUAAAGAUGACAAAAAAGAAGAUACAAUGGAAGAGAAACAAGAAGUAAUUGCAAAUGUCAACAAGGACCCCUCUCCAGAUUCCUCACAGAGCUUACAGGAAGAAGAACCUGAAAAAGGAAUUCCACAAGAUAACGUGCAUCAGGAAACUCCAUUUUCUGAAGCUAAUGCCCCCAGGACUAAGGAGGAGGAAGAGGAAGAUACAUGGAAGAAAGAACAAGCUUAUUUGAAAGCCCUAUCGGAUCAGUAUUGUAUUGAGAAGUACCAAGAUAGUUACGAUUUGAUGUCAGAACUACCGGUUUCUCACCUCUUGCACCAUGUGAUACCAAGAUCAUACACUUUUCCUGUGGAUCCCACAGUACAGUCAGCAACAGAUGAAACAGCUGUACAGCUGAGUGAGCUCUUGUCUCUGCCAGUGCUGAUGAAACGUUCCAUUACUGCUCCACUUGUAUCUCAUGUUUCUCUUGUGAACAAAGCAGUGGUCGAUUACUACUUUGUGGAACUGAACGUAGAGAAGCAUUUUGAAGCACUGAGACACUUUUUGUUAAUGGAAGAUGGGGAGUUUGCUCAGUCACUCAGUGACCUGUUGUUUGAGAAGCUUGGAUCAGGACAGACACCUGGUGAAUUGCUGAAUCCACUGGUUCUUAAUUCUAUCCUAAAUAAAGCAUUACAAUAUAGUCUUCAUGGUGACACCCAACUUGCUUCCAAUCUUUCUUUUGCCCUCAAGUAUCUUCCAGAAGUGUUCAAGCCUAAUGCACCUGAUGCUCUGAGUUGCUUAGAGCUAAGGUACAAGGUUGACUGGCCUCUGAACAUUGUCAUUACUGAGAGCUGCAUGAAUAAAUACAACAAGAUCUUCUCCUUUCUGCUUCAGCUGAAGCACAUGGUGUGGACUCUCAAGGAUGUUUGGUUUCAUUUAAAACGUACUGCUUUAGUGAGUCGUGCAUCAAAUUCUGUUCAGUUUCGGCAGCUCCAGCUGUAUAAACAUGAAAUGCAGCAUUUUGUGAAAGUUAUUCAAGGUUACAUCGCUAAUCAGAUUCUUCAUGUUACAUGGUGUGAAUUUGGAAACAAACUAUCUUCUGUAGGCAACUUGGAAGAAAUUCACAGAACACAUGCUGAAUACCUCAACAAAGCAAUCUUCAGGGGUCUGUUGACAGAGAAGGCAGCCCCUGUGAUGAACAUUAUACACAGCAUCUUCAGCCUCAUUUUGAAGUUCCGCAGCCAGCUGAUCUCUCAGUCAUGGAGCUUCGAUGCAGGGAAGCAAAUGGCUGUCCAUCCCAACUUUGGUCUGAUGCAGCAGUCCUACAAUACCUUCAAGUAUUACUCCCACUUCUUAUUCAAAGGUAAGAAAUUGCAUCAAGUUUAUAUAGAAGAAAAAGUUAACUGUUGUGUACCAACUGAAAAAAUUAGAGAUUUUGGAAGUGUGAUGUGAAAGUAGGAAGAUGUGUGUACUUGCCAUGUGGUAGAAAAUGUAGUUGCCAAAUGAAGACUGCAUUGCUGUGGUUUCCAAAGAUCUGCAUAUCCAUUGAUUAAAAUGUCCACACAAGAAAUCUAACAGAUAUCCCAAAACUGACCGUAAUUUUUUUGCUAAUGAUGUGCAAAAUAAGUAUUUGGUAUUUAGCUCUCUGUGUGUACUUACGUUUUUCUUUUCUCUAGAACUGAGUUCUGGGAACUUUUUAUUGGCAACAAUGAGAGAUAGUUAGAUAUCACUUAGAAGUAAUUUUAGAUAUAUCUGCAGUAGUUGUGUAUUACCAUUGUUAUGAGAGUUGAAAAUUCUAAUUCCCAUGUUGAACUAAACCUCAGGGAGCCUGCUGGCAUUAGCUGGAGCUUAUAUCCAGAGCUCCAGGCAAGUGUUUUUCAGCUGCACAGAUCAUCUGCCAAAUGUUCUUUCCUUUAACAUGAUAAAAUUUCUUUUCACUGUCAUCUUAGCCUGUAAUUUGAAGAAAUGGUUGAUCUUUCUUUCCUCUCCAUUUCUUUUUCAGAUCUUGCUUGUGUUUUUAGUAAAAGUUAGUUUUCAAUCCCCUAAGUACAAAGGUGGUUUAUGGGGUUUGGGUUUUUGGUUGAUUUUUUUGUUUGUUUUUUUUUCAGAAAGCCCUUAAUUCCUGAAGGAAGUGCAUCUGUUUUCCUUAGAUCUAUUUUUCUAGACUAUUUUAUAGUGAGACUAUAUUCCUCAGGAAACGAGCUGCCCUUUUUAUUCUUUAAGGGUGUCCAAAAAUGGUGUCAAAGAACCAAAAGCAGUUAUUUCAGGAUGAGUUAGAAUGGCUGCUUCCAAAUUCUACAGGAAGUCAGAACACCUCUGGGAACCACCUAAGCCCAUACUACGAGAUCUAUGGUUUCUUCAUGGACAGAGAUUAAUUGACCGUUCCGUAAGGAAAUUUGCUGAGUGACCUAGUUCUUUACACCCUCUUCCUUAAGCACUACAAAACAAAUGUCCGCUUGUUCAUCUACACCUGUUCCUUCAGUCACCAUGUACUGUAAAAUGCUCUUUCACAGUGGGCUGAUCCAGAAUCCAUUGAAAGCCAAUACAAAAUAGUCUGGACUUCAGUGGCUUUGGCUCAGGUCCUAAUGUCUAACUAUACACUUUUCCCUUCAUCCUUGCAUGUUACUGCUGCUUGCUAAUUCCCUUUACGUUAGUGCAUGGGAUGUUUAUGGGCCCAGGGAGUCCCUGUUGACUUUUUUCUUUGGUAUCAAGGAUGUUUAGAACAGUCAGCUUGUUCAUUCAUAGAGCUUGAGGGAUUUCUCUUUGGUUUUCUUUCUCACAAUGGACUUCACUCAAGAAAACUUCAGCAGAGCUUCUUCUUUCACAGCGGUCACCAGAGGACCUAAACAUGCUUCCUGUGGUAACAAAGCUUGUAAAUAGAGGAUAUCAGCCC